rnacentral:rRNA from 1 species
GACGAACCGUGCGAACGUUGUUCGGAUUCACUGGGCUUAAAGGGCGCGUAGGCGGGCCAUCAAGUCAGGGGUGAAAUCUUUCGGCUCAACCGGAAAAGUGCCUUUGAUACUGGUGGUCUCGAGGGAGGUAGGGGCAUGCGGAACUUCCGGUGGAGCGGUGAAAUGCGUAGAUAUCGGAAGGAACGCCGGUGGCGAAAGCGGCGUGCUGGACCUCUUCUGACGCUGAGGCGCGAAAGCUAGGGGAGCAAACGGGG